UCUUGUCUGUCAUGAGUGAGUACACGAUCCAGAUAAGCACCAAGCUGACCGACUAGCUCACACGCGACGACGAGUAGGUGAAAAGGAAGGUUAGGAAAACCAAGCCCAAAAAACUCAUUGCACAGCAGUGAGCCUCAGGAAAAUGGUAGUGAGCUCCCAGUGACAGCUGCUACGCCACGUGCCCUUCUGGUCAGGCCUUCCCACAUCACGGACCGACAGCUGAGAGGAUGACCCUGUUUUAAUGAUGUCUGGCUUUAUCGAGGUGCUUCAGCCAUUGGAAGGUAAUUCAGGUUUGGUAUGUCACAGGAAAGGAUGAAGCGAACAAAGCAAAUUAGAUCGUUCUAAGUUCGACACUGCUGCCUUUUCUUUCAUCUCCAGCUUGAUAGGAUGUGUGCUUGAUUUGGCCCCCUGCUUGGACUACCUCCUCAGCUUGGCAGCGGUGAUGUUCAGCCUCGACUACGCUCUCCGACGAGAGGGACCGGCGAAAAAGUUCAGGCCUGCUCUUAGAAGGUCGGUGAAACUAAAUAAUGCUAUAGCAGAGCCUGUUUAGUGCUUGUUUAUGUUCAAGGCAGCAUGAACAUUUACU